rnacentral:rRNA from 1 species
UACGUAGGCAGCGAGCGUUGUUCGGAGUUACUGGGCGUAAAGCGUGCGUAGGCGGUGGCCUAAGUCUGUUGUGAAAUCUCCCGGCUUAACCGGGAGGGUGCGGCGGAAACUGGGUUGCUGGAGUGCGGGAGAGGUAAGCGGAAUUCCCGGUGUAGCGGUGAAAUGCGUAGAUAUCGGGGAGGAACACCUGCGGUGUAGACGGCUUACUGGACCGUAACUGACGCUGAGGCACGAAAGCGUGGGGAGCAAACAGG